rnacentral:rRNA from 1 species
GACGAACGCUGGCGGCGUGCUUAACACAUGCAAGUCGAACGGAAAGGCCCUGCUUGCCGGGUGCUCGAGUGGCGAACGGGUGAGUAACACGUGGGUGAUCUGCCCCUUACUUUGGGAUAAGCCUGGGAAACUGGGUCUAAUACUGGAUAGGACCAUGCUGUAGGUGGUGUGGUGGAAAGAUUAGUUUCGGUAAGGGAUGAGCUCGCGGCCUAUCAGCUUGUUGGUGGGGUAAUGGCCUACCAAGGCGUCGACGGGUAGCCGGCCUGAGAGGGUGGACGGCCACAUUGGGACUGAGAUACGGCCCAAACUCCUACGGGAGGGAGCAGUGGGGAAAAUUGCACAAUGGGCGCAAGCCUGGUGCAGCGACGCCGCGUGGGGGAUGACGGCCUUCGGGUUGUAAACUCCUUUCAGCCAUGACGAAGCCCUUGUGGUGACGGUAGUGGUAGAAGAAGCACCGGCUAACUACGUG